GUUCUUAUAGUGUAGGUAGGCACAUGAGAUUUUCAAUCUUUUAGAGCACUAGUAUUAGUGUUAGGAAUA
rnacentral:tRNA from 1 species